rnacentral:rRNA from 1 species
AGAGUUUGAUCAUGGCUCAGAACGAACGCUGGCGGCGUGCUUAACACCAUGCAAGUCGGAACGAGAAAGAUUUCUUCGGAAAUUGAGUAGAGUGGCCCACGGGUGAGUAACGCGUAGGUAAUCUACCCUAAUAUUUGGGAUAACAUUGGAAAACUGGUGCUAAUACCGAAUACCCUUCUUUUCUGUCGGGUUAAGGAGGAAAGGUGGCCUCUUCAUGAAAGCUACCGUAUAAGGAUGAGCCUGCGUACCAUUAGCCUAGUAGGUGGGGUAAAGGCCCACCUAGGCUACGAUGGUUAGCGGGUCUGAGAGGAUGAUCCGCCACACUGGAACUGGAACACGGACCAGACUCCUCCGGGAGGCAGCAGUGAGGAAUAUUGCGCAAUGGGGGAAACCCUGACGCAGCGACGCCGCGUGAGUGAGGAAGGUUUUCGGAUCGUAAAGCUCUGUCAGAAGGGAAGAAGUGUUAUAUAGUUAAUACCUGUAUAAUUUGACGGUACCUUCAGAGGAAGCACCGGCUAACUCCGUGCCAGCAGCCGCGGUAAUACGGAGGGUGCGAGCGUUNUUCGGAAUUACUGGGCGUAAAGGGCGCGUAGGCGGCCCGAUAAGUCAGGUGUGAAAGUCCACGGCUCAACCGUGGGAAGUGCAUUUGAAACUGUCAGGCUUGAGUAUCGGAGGGGGAAAGUGGAAUUCCCGGUGUAGAGGUGAAAUUCGUAGAGAUCGGGAGGAACACCGGUGGCGAAGGCGACUUUCUGGACGAAUACUGACGCUGAGGCGCGAAAGCGUGGGGGAGCAAACAGGAUUAGAUACCCUGGUAGUCCACGCCGUAAACGAUGUGAACUAGGGAUAGGGGGUGUUGAUCCCUCCUGUCCCGCAGCUAACGCAUUAAGUUCACCCCCUGGGGAGUACGGUCCC